AGGCGCGAAAACAGAGGGACCGAUGUUGAAAAUAUCCCCUCACCGCGAAAACGCGUGGAUCCCAGGGGUUAAGAAUCGGGUCGGAUCGGGCAUAAAGGGGGUGGCCUAGACGAUGUCGUUUUUACUCCUUUAAAAGGACUAAAAUCAGCCAAAUUCGGCCGAUCCUGCUUACCCCCCAUUUCUUCUCAUUCGACGAACCCUAGAUCCCCUCUCAUCAAAUGCCAAGCCGCCAUCAUGUAGAUGACCAACACCCUCAGGCUAUGCGCGACCGCUUUAUGGCCUUGGAGUUCUCCUUAAGUCUCCGAUUUCGGCGAAGCAAAGGAGAACCGAUGCCUAUUUUCAAGGUACAGAGUCUGCUGGCAUGCGUACGGGGGUGCGGGCGUAGCGUACAAGGGCUGUGGCGUGGCUGCUGAAAUGUUGAGGCAUACGGAGGCAUGGAGGCCGGGGCUUGGCUGCGGCGCAAGGUGGACCCUAGGGUUUCUGGUUAUUUCAAUUUUUGGGCCACUUGGGCCGAUACAAUUUUGGAGGUUCGGGCCUUUAAUCAUGCAACUUGGACUGUUAUAAAACUUGGGUUUUAUAUUUAUUUAUUUUGUAUUUAUUUGGGUUUCAAAGAGCGGGGCAAAUUGGCCUAUUUACAACAUUUAUUUAAAACUUAAUAAGUAAGAAAAAACCAAAUUAAAGUUGCAACAAUAA